rnacentral:rRNA from 1 species
GACGAACGCUGGCGGCGUGCUUAACACAUGCAAGUCGAACGGAAAGGCCCUGCUUUUGUGGGGUGCUCGAGUGGCGAACGGGUGAGUAACACGUGAGUAACCUGCCCUUGACUUUGGGAUAACUUCAGGAAACUGGGGCUCAUACCCGAUAGGAGCUCCUGCUGCAUGGUGGGGGUUGGAAAGUUUCGGCGGUUGGGGAUGGACUCGCGGCUUAUCAGCUUGUUGGUGGGGUAGUGGCUUACCAAGGCUUUGACGGGUAGCCGGCCUGAGAGGGUGACCGGCCACAUUGGGACUGAGAUACGGCCCAGACUCCUACGGGAGGCAGCAGUGGGGAAUAUUGCACAAUGGGCGGAAGCCUGAGGCAGCAACGCCGCGUGCGGGAUGACGGCCUUCGGGUUGUAAACCGCUUUCGCAUGUGACGAAGCGUGAGUGACGGUAAUGGGUAAAGAAGCACCGGCUAACUACGUG